GUUAGUUCUACCCGAAGAUGGUGCGCUAACCGCAAGGAGGCAGCCAGCCACGGUAGAGUCAGCGACUGGGGUGAAGUCGUAACAAGGUAGCCGUAGGUGAACCUGCAGAAGGAUCA
rnacentral:rRNA from 1 species